rnacentral:rRNA from 1 species
AUUGAACGCUGGCGGCAGGCUUAACACAUGCAAGUCGAGCGAGCCGCGGACGGAUGAGUAAUGUCUGGGAAACUGCCUGAUGGAGGGGGAUAACUACUGGAAACGGUAGCUAAUACCGCAUACCAUCAGAUGUGCCCAGAUGGGAAUAGCUAGUAGGUGAGGUAAUGGCUCACCUAGGCGACGAUCCCUAGCUGGUCUGAGAGGAUGACCAGCCACCCUGGACCGGAGACAGGGUCCGAACCCCACCGGGGGGAGGAAGGGGGGAUAUUACACAAUGGGCGCAAGCCUGAUGCAGCCAUGCCGCGUGUGUGAAGAAGGCCCUCGGGUUGUAAAGCACAUUCAGCGAGGAGGCGUUACUCGCAGAAGAAGCACCGGCUAACUCCGUGCCAGCAGCCGCGGUAAUUC